CCCUUAGAUGUCCUGGGCCGCACGCGCGCUACACUGACAUGUUCAACAAGUUUCUCCUAGUUCGACAGGACUGGGAAAUCUUUGAACGCAUGUCGCGAUAGGGAUAGAUCAUUGCAAUUAUUGAUCUUGAACGAGGAAUUCCUAGUAAACGCGAGUCAUCAGCUCGCAUUGAUUACGUCCCUGCCCUUUGUACACACCGCCCGUCACACCUACCGAUUGAAUGUUUCGGUGAAGAUUCCGGAUAGGACUGAUUUGAUUUAUUUCAUUUCUGACCUAAAAGCUAUCUAAACCUCAACAUUUAGAGGAAGGUGAAGUCGUAACA
rnacentral:rRNA from 1 species